GUGGCUAUGGUGUAGCGGCAACACGAGAGGUUGUGGUCCUCUAAUCAUGGGUUCAACUCCCGUUAGCCACC
rfam:Candidatus Berkelbacteria bacterium RIFCSPLOWO2_01_FTLL_50_28 rifcsplowo2_01_scaffold_124, whole genome shotgun sequence.